AUAACUGUUUCAGACACUCUCCUUUGGUGCUAUCUGAAAUUUGAAAACCAGCAGAGGAGGAAAAUGUGGUCUUGUCCUCAAGGAAGUGCAUGAGUUGGGAGGUCACCCACAUUAUUACCAUCACAUAAGUUGUCACACCCAAUAGCAAAGGUGACUGGAAAUACAGUCUUUCUUCUGAGCAGCCACCUGCCCAGCAAACAUGGGAGUGAAAAAGGAGGCAUGGUGAUAGAGUGUGUGGAAAGUAAUUUGGGGGCUGGAGAGAUGGCCUGGCAGUUAAGACCAUAAGAUGUUCUUGCGGAGGAUCCUCGUUCAACUCCCAUGCCCAUGCCCGGGGACUCAUGGCACCCGUAAACUCCAGCUCCACAGGAGUUGAUCCCUCUGCCCUCUGACCUCUGAGGAUGCUUUCACUCUCAUGCUCAUACCCA